rnacentral:rRNA from 1 species
GGUGGGAGGCUUUGAAGUGUGGACGCCAGUCUGCAUGGAGCCGACCUUGAAAUACCACCCUUUAAUGUUUGAUGUUCUAACGUUGACCCGUAAUCCGGGUUGCGGACAGUGUCUGGUGGGUAGUUUGACUGGGGCGGUCUCCUCCUAAAGAGUAACGGAGGAGCACGAAGGUUGGCUAAUCCUGGUCGGACAUCAGGAGGUUAGUGCAAUGGCAUAAGCCAGCUUGACUGCGAGCGUGACGGCGCGAGCAGGUGCGAAAGCAGGUCAUAGUGAUCCGGUGGUUCUGAAUGGAAGGGCCAUCGCUCAACGGAUAAAAGGUACUCCGGGGAUAACAGGCUGAUACCGCCCAAGAGUUCAUAUCGACGGCGGUGUUUGGCACCUCGAUGUCGGCUCAUCACAUCCUGGGGCUGAAGUAGGUCCCAAGGGUAUGGCUGUUCGCCAUUUAAAGUGGUACGCGAGCUGGGUUUAGAACGUCGUGAGACAGUUCGGUCCCUAUCUGCCGUGGGCGCUGGAGAACUGAGGGGGGCUGCUCCUAGUACGAGAGGACCGGAGUGGACGCAUCACUGGUGUUCGGGUUGUCAUGCCAAUGGCACUGCCCGGUAGCUAAAUGCGGAAGAGAUAAGUGCUGAAAGCAUCUAAGCACGAAACUUGCCCCGAGAUGAGUUCUCCCUGACUCCUUGAGAGUCCUGAAGGAACGUUGAAGACGACGACGUUGAUAGGCCGGGUGUGUAAGCGCAGCGAUGCGUUGAGCUAACCGGUACUAAUGAACCGUGAGGCUUAACCUU